UUUUACAAUGAAGAGUUUGAUCCUGGCUCAGGAUGAACGCUAGCUACAGGCUUAACACAUGCAAGUCGAGGGGCAUCAGGAAGAAAGCUUGCUUUCUUUGCUGGCGACCGGCGCACGGGUGAGUAACACGUAUCCAACCUGCCCUUUACUCGGGGAUAGCCUUUCGAAAGAAAGAUUAAUACCCGAUGGGAUAAUUAUUCCGCAUGGUUUGAUUAUUAAAGGAUUCCGGUAAAGGAUGGGGAUGCGUUCCAUUAGGUUGUUGGUGAGGUAACGGCUCACCAAGCCUUCGAUGGAUAGGGGUUCUGAGAGGAAGGUCCCCCACAUUGGAACUGAGACACGGUCCAAACUCCUACGGGAGGCAGCAGUGAGGAAUAUUGGUCAAUGGGCGCGAGCCUGAACCAGCCAAGUAGCGUGAAGGAUGACUGCCCUAUGGGUUGUAAACUUCUUUUAUAUUAGAAUAAAGUGCAGUAUGUAUACUGUUUUGUAUGUAUAAUAUGAAUAAGGAUCGGCUAACUCCGUGCCAGCAGCCGCGGUAAUACGGAGGAUCCGAGCGUUAUCCGGAUUUAUUGGGUUUAAAGGGAGCGUAGGUGGACUGGUAAGUCAGUUGUGAAAGUUUGCGGCUCAACCGUAAAAUUGCAGUUGAUACUGUCAGUCUUGAGUACAGUAGAGGUGGGCGGAAUUCGUGGUGUAGCGGUGAAAUGCUUAGAUAUCACGAAGAACUCCGAUUGCGAAGGCAGCUCACUGGACUGCAACUGACACUGAUGCUCGAAAGUGUGGGUAUCAAACAGGAUUAGAUACCCUGGUAGUCCACACAGUAAACGAUGAAUACUCGCUGUUUGCGAUAUACAGUAAGCGGCCAAGCGAAAGCAUUAAGUAUUCCACCUGGGGAGUACGCCGGCAACGGUGAAACUCAAAGGAAUUGACGGGGGCCCGCACAAGCGGAGGAACAUGUGGUUUAAUUCGAUGAUACGCGAGGAACCUUACCCGGGCUUAAAUUGCAGUGGAAUGAUGUGGAAACAUGUCAGUGAGCAAUCACCGCUGUGAAGGUGCUGCAUGGUUGUCGUCAGCUCGUGCCGUGAGGUGUCGGCUUAAGUGCCAUAACGAGCGCAACCCUUAUCUUCAGUUACUAACAGGUCAUGCUGAGGACUCUGGAGAGACUGCCGUCGUAAGAUGUGAGGAAGGUGGGGAUGACGUCAAAUCAGCACGGCCCUUACGUCCGGGGCUACACACGUGUUACAAUGGGGGGUACAGAAGGCAGCUACCUGGUGACAGGAUGCUAAUCCCAAAAGCCUCUCUCAGUUCGGAUCGAAGUCUGCAACCCGACUUCGUGAAGCUGGAUUCGCUAGUAAUCGCGCAUCAGCCACGGCGCGGUGAAUACGUUCCCGGGCCUUGUACACACCGCCCGUCAAGCCAUGGGAGCCGGGGGUACCUGAAGUACGUAACCGCAAGGAGCGUCCUAGGGUAAAACUGGUGACUGGGGCUAAGUCGUAACAAGGUAGCCGUACCGGAAGGUGCGGCUGGAACACCUCCUUUCUGGAGC
rnacentral:rRNA from 1 species